rnacentral:rRNA from 1 species
UAAAGCGUGCGCAGCGGUUAUAUAAGACAGAGGUGAAAUCCCCGGGCUCAACCUGGGAACUGCCUUUGUGACUGUAUGGCUAGAGUGUGUCAGAGGGGGGUAGAAUUCCACGUGUAGCAGUGAAAUGCGUAGAUAUGUGGAGGAAUACCGAUGGCGAAGGCAGCCCCCUGGGAUAACACUGACGCUCAUGCACGAAAGCGUGGGGAGCAAACAGGAUUAGAUACCCUAGU